rnacentral:rRNA from 1 species
UACGAAGGGGGCUAGCGUUGCUCGGAAUUACUGGGCGUAAAGGGCGCGUAGGCGGGUCGUUAAGUUGGGGGUGAAAGCCCAGGGCUCAACCCUGGAAUUGCCUUCAAUACUGGCGACCUUGAGUAUGGCAGAGGUGUGUGGAACUCCGAGUGUAGAGGUGAAAUUCGUAGAUAUUCGGAAGAACACCAGUGGCGAAGGCGACACACUGGGCCAUUACUGACGCUGAGGCGCGAAAGCCAGGGGAGCAAACGGG